CAGGGGCCCCACAACACGGGGGCGCGUGUGGCGCGGCCCCCGGUGCACGCAGAGGCCCCGCCUGGUGCCGCCUUCCCCUUGGCCGGGGCCGUGGACGUGGCGAACGUUGUGGCCUCUUGGGAGGUCGAAGAGGCCGCAUGUACUGAAGUGAAACCAGCCUUGGUGAUCGGUGGAAAGGCGCACGGCCUGCAGGGUUAUCGCAGCUCAGGAGGUGCCUGACAAGGCCUUGCUUGUCGUAAGGAACUUAGAUGUGAAGUUCUUCACGUGGCCUGUGCUGGGACCAACAGCAGAGCGGAGCUCCUGAGCUGCUCCCUUGUUGCAUUUGUCACUGUAGCUGUCAUACUCCCUUGCACUUGCUGCACAGCCAUGGUGCUGCUGUCACCAGUGGUGAUGCCCCGAGGAUGCCAUGACGGAAUGACUGCAUCAGGAACACCUACAUGCUGUGGGAUCAGGCUGCCCGGGACAGUUCAAUAAGGGCCUGUAUCCUUUCAGGCCCUUCAAAGUAAGCUUUGAAGUUUCAUCAUCCUUGUCAAGAUCUGGAAGUGCAGCUCAGGAUAUUCAAGAGUCCACAAAUCAGUAGUGGGAUGAAAAUAUGCUUUUGACAGGAGGCUUGAAAUCUCUCCUUCCCCAUGUGCUAAGAAGAAUAAUUAGAUGCAACAGACUCAGUAUUAGUAAUACUUCUGGAAUGGCAGAAGGCUAUGAACGGGCCAGUGUUGUGAUUUUGCACAAGUCCCUGGCUGAUGGCUUUGAGAAGUUCUGCCAUGCAAACGAUGGACCCCUGCCACUGCUGUACAGAAGCCAACCAGGUGACUGGAAAUGUCCUUCCCUGAGUAGUGAUUCUGCUAUCAGAACUGACUGGCUACAGUACAGAAAAUAUGAGCAUGGAGCUUGUACUGGAUCACUGAAAAGCCUUAAGGAAUAUUCUGAACAACUCAAGGACAUGGUGACUUUUUAUUUAGGCUGCAGCUUCUCUUUGGAAAAAGCAGUCCAAAAAGCUGGCAUUCCUAUCAGAAACAUUGAGCAAAAAUGUAAUGUGAGCAUGUACAAAACAUCUGUGCCUUGCUACAGCAUUUCUAUGUUUCACUGCAACUUAGUAGUCACAAUGAGACCUAUUCCUGAAAGCAAGUUGGGAGCAGCUGUGCUAGCAACAUCUGAAUUAAGAGAAUCCCACGGAGCACCAAUUCACAUAGGUGAUCCUGGUCUGCUGGGAAUACAAGAUCUUUCUAAACCAGACUAUGGAGAUCCAGUUCACCUUCACCCUGGUGACAUUCCAGUGUUUUGGGCCUCAGGAGUAACAGGAGUGGAAGCAAUUAUCAACAGCCGAGCUCCAUUAGCUUUUUCUCCUGACUGCACGUUCAUUACUGACCUAGAGAAAGGUAAUGUCAGAUCCUCAGGAGGAGUCCCACAGGUCCACUGCAUCUCUCGAGAUCCUCUGCAUUUCAGCAUUGUGUCAGCAGAAGCAGCCCAAAAGAUAAAUACUCUAGAGACCCUAAUUGGAAUAGAUCCAGGAGAGCGGGGAAUAAGGCACCUGCAGCGGCAGGGAGAGCUGCUGGGCGCCUGCCUGGCCCUGUCCCACGCGGGCUCCGUGCUGAUAACCACGGGAUUCCCCACCCACUUCGGCCACCAGCCGCCCGAGGAGAACGACGGCCCCCCGGGGGCCCUUGCCAUCGCUGCCAUGCUGCAGGCCUUGGAGAAACAGGUUGCCAUAGUGACAGAUCAGAGAGCCAUGGAUCUGAAUAAAAAGAUUAUUGAAGAAGCUGUUCGACUAGGAAUCCUGAAGAAGCCCAUCCCUCUAUUGAGUUAUCAAAGGGAAAGUGCCAAUUCAGCUUUAACGUUUUUGUGUGAGAAUGGGAAUCCUGGAAGACCUAGAUUUGAUCACCUGGUAGCAAUAGAGCGUGCUGGGAUGGCUGCUGAUGGCAAUUAUUACAAUGCCAGGAAAGUUAACAUUAAACAUCUGGUGGAUCCCAUAGAUGAACUAUUUUUAGCUGCACAAACCAUUCCAGGAAUCACAACAACAGGUGUUGGAGAUGGAGGAAAUGAAUUAGGAAUGGGCAAAGUAAAAGAUGCUGUAAAGAAGCACAUAAAAAAUGGAGAUGUUAUAGCUUGUGAUGUUGAAGCUGAUUUUACUGUUGUAGCUGGGGUCUCUAACUGGGGUGGCUAUGCCAUGGCCUGUGCCCUGCACGUGCUGCGCUGCUGCGAGACCCACGAGCGUUACCUGCGCCGAGCCCUCGGCUGCCCGCGCACACCGAGCCAGAGGCCCUGGCUGCCCGCGCUGCCCUCCGUCCCCAAGGAAGAAAAGCUUCUGAAAACACUUGUGCAGCUCGGGGUCCGCAGUGGCAAAACUGCCAGUCUGGAGAUGGAAGUGGAUGGGCUGCCCUUCUACAGCACCCAUUCACUUAUGAUUGAAAAGCUGCUGCAGGAAGCACAGCAGUGACUGCCCCUAAUGAUUUCUACAUGAAGAGUUGCUCCCAUGUCAUUUCCUUAUUUUUGAGGCUCUCUCAAGGUGAGUGGCAGGACUACAGUUCUGCUGGCUGUCAGCCCUCCCAGCAGAGAAGGUACAUUUGACCCCGCCCCUAGAGCACUGGUGCUUUACCUAUCACAAAAUGGAAGUUGCCUUUAGUUGGACUUUCAGCAGUGAGCAACACUUUUUAUCUUUUCCUUCCUGGCAGGUGAGUUUUCUUUUCUUUCUACAAUGCAAGACAAACAACUUUUUCAGAAUGAGUAAAAUAAUUUCACACCACAAACACCAGCAUAUUUUGAACAUCAAUCUCCUGAAGUCCCUGAGGAUACAGGGCCUUUAAAGACAAAAAAUAGUAGAACACAUGACAGAAAGAAAUCUAAAUGCCAGACUUCUGCUAGACAUUCAGGUUCACCCAAGAUCCCAAUGAACUUUUUGCCAAAGCCAGUAACCCUGCAGGAUGGCAUAUGUUCACUGCUGCAGAGAACUCACAGGAUGAAAUUUGCAUCAUUUUAAAAGAAGCAGCUGAUUUUAUUCUCUCUGUGCUACUGACAUGUUACACUAACAGAUGCAAUGGACAUUUUCAAGCACUGACUUUUCUCAAAAAAAAAUUUCAUUUAGUAAGCUCUUUGUCCCAAAAUACAAGUCUUAACAGUUAGUUUUCAUUAAGAAAUACAAAAUUUAAUAUUUUUUCUCUUUUUCUCAAGUGUGUGCUUUUAAAAUGCUUUCUUGUGUGCAGUCCCAAGCAUGGCAUUUACUUCAAUAGCAUGUGUAGCAUGUCUCUAGCAACCUUAGCAGGACCCUUGAGUGAAUGUCUUUUGACAGAGAGGGAAGGAAAAGCUCUGAGUGGGAGUUACCUUCCUGUUCUGUUGGUUACAGGUCUGCAGCCUAAGCCAAACAGUUACAAUACAGAAAGAAUUGAUAAAAUAUUGGCUUCAAGAAAAAAAAAAGGGAAAAGAAGAAAAAAAUCCCUCCUUUCUGUUCUGGGUUUGCAGGGACUCUUGUGGACAACUCGUAAAAUCCCACAGUAGGAGAAGGCCAGGAGAAAGAAGGGGAAAAGGAAGCCAGCAGAGAAGCGGUAGUAAUUGACAUUGUGCUCCCAUUUCUUGAUGGGGUAAUGCUCAAAGCACACCAAGUGGCUCUCAGCAUCCAUACUGAUCUCCCCGUGUGUAAAGACAAAGCAGCAUGUGAUGAUUUCUUUGGCCCAGAUGAUGAUGCUCACAAUGGCAGCAGCCUUCAUGGUCCGAAAGCGCUGGAAGCGGAAGGGGUGCACCACGGCCAGGUAGCGGUCGAUGGAGAUGCAGCACAGGAAGCCCACGCUGAUGUAGAUGUUCUCAUACAGGAUGAUGCCACAAACUUUGCACAGCAGCUCAUCGUAGGUCCAGUUGUCAUGCUGUAAAGCAUACUGAAGCCAAAAAGGCAAAGAAAAUAUGUACAGCAGGUCUGCUAUAGUCAAAUUGCAAAGAGGGAACAUCAGCCCUGGUUUUGGUGGAAAUAUCCUUGGGAGCUCAGAAACUUUCAGUCAUGAAACAAUAGGCCAAGUUUCCCUUUUGGAGAUUAACCAAGUUUCCUGAGUAGAACUGAGUCAAUAUUCACAUGGAAGACAUGUUCCUCCAUUGUUAUUUCUCAGUGUUCUCAUGAGAAGCAGUGUGCCUUGCAGAAGGUUUUCCUUGUGCUCUUUCCCUCGUUGCCGUUCUUGCUCCCUAGAUGACUAUUGAAAAUGUCAGUCCUUUUUUUUACACUUGAGGGUACAGGACUCCAACAAUCUAGUUCCCAGUGGAUUAAUCACUUUAAAUAAAGUGCUGGCAUCUGUAUCUGCAGGUUUGCUUACAUUACCGUUUCCUGAUUUUCCAUUUCUGGAUGAAAGAGGUUCAACAUGAAAACUGAGAAAAAUAGUUGGAGAGGCAUGACCUCACAGAAAUGCAAACCCCGCCUUCUUUAAUAGUAUCAAAGAAGCAAUUCACAGCAAAAGCAACGACCUUGCUGGAAACCAUUCACACUUCCAAACAGGCUUCUGACCAGAGAAAAGGGAGAGAAUCAAAUGCUUGUUACAGGAGAGUUCUGAUGAGCUCAUGAGGAAAUGGAAAAGCUGACACAGGAGAUGUGAGAUUCCAAAUUGAGAGCUGUUCAGAAAUCCAGGUCCUGCUUUGGGGUGGAGGUGUAAAACCAGCUCUGAAAUUUGGACUUAAGUUCAAAUUUCAAAUAAUAAUGUUCUGACAUGAUAGUCUCAGUGAUUUUAGUUUAAGCCUCUUGUAAGUUUAAAAGACAAUUGCUAUUUUAAAAGCUAUGUCUGAACAGUUCUUAAACAUGGAGCAUAAACCAGAUACACCCUCUAAUUAGAUAUGAGUAGACACUAAAUCAUUAUCCAUCACAGAGUAAAAGCUUUCCUUCCUUGGCAGAAGGAAGAUGAAAUGUUUCCAGAUAUAAAAUGGAAACAUUCUAAUGGUUACUAAAAUACUGAGUUAAAAGAAAGCCAAACCAAGAGAUCUCGGAAAUAUUUCCAUUCAUCCCUACUGAUAUUUUAGCAUUUUAUUCAGGUGUCAUUAAAGUGAUUGAACUUA